rnacentral:tRNA from 1 species
GGAAUUGCUUAAUGGUAGAGCUUUCGACUCAAAUACCAAAGGCGUGGGUUUAAAUCCCAGGUGUUCCA